rnacentral:rRNA from 1 species
UACGUAGGGGGCAAGCGUUGUUCGGAAUUACUGGGCGUAAAGGGCGCGUAGGCGGCACAGCAAGUCGGGAGUGAAAGCCCGGGGCUCAACCCCGGAAUGGCUUUCGAAACUGCUGAGCUAGAGUACAGAAGGGGCAACCGGAAUUCCCAGUGUAGCGGUGAAAUGCGUAGAUAUUGGGAAGAACACCAGAGGCGAAGGCGGGUUGCUGGGCUGAUACUGACGCUGAGGCGCGAAAGCCAGGGGAGCAAACGGG